rnacentral:rRNA from 1 species
GACGAACGCUGGCGGCGCGCUUAACACAUGCAAGUCGAACGGAAAGGCCUGCUUUCCCUUGUGGAUUGCGGGUACUCGAGUGGCGAACGGGUGAGUAACACGUGAGUGAUCUGCCCCCAACUUGGGUAUAAGCCUGGGAAACUGGGUCUAAUUCCCGAUAGGACUGCAGGGUGGUGCCUGUGGUGGAAAACGAUUUUCUAGUGGUUGGGGAUGAGCUCGCGGCCUAUCAGCUUGUUGGUGGGGUAAUGGCCUACCAAGGCGGCGACGGGUAGCCGGCCUGAGAGGGUGGACGGCCACAUUGGGACUGAGUUCCGGCCCAGACUCCUACGGGAGGCAGCAGUGGGGAAUAUUGCACAAUGGGCGGAAGCCUGAUGCAGCGACGCCGCGUGGGGGAUGACGGCCUUCGGGUUGUAAACUCCUUUCGACCGCGAGGAAGCCACCUGGUUGGAAGGGUGGUGACGGUAGUGGUAGAAGAAGCACCGGCUAACUACGUG